GCCUUGCACAAUCCUACAGGAGAAGUUAGUU
rnacentral:piRNA from 1 species